UUCGCUUCUCGGCCUUUUGGCUAAGAUCAAAGUUUAGUUUCUGUUCUUAUCGAAUUGUCUUUCGAUAGAAAUUCGAUAAUUCCUGGCUCACGGGACUUUCC
rnacentral:snRNA from 1 species